UACGUAGGGUGCAAGCGUUGUCCGGAAUUACUGGGCGUAAAGGGCUCGUAGGCGGCCAACUAAGUCGGAUGUGAAAUCCCCAAGCUUAACUUGGGAACUGCAUCCGAUACUGGAUGGCUUGAAUCCGGGAGAGGGAUGCAGAAUUCCAGGUGUAGCGGUGAAAAUGCGUAGAUAUCUGGAGGAAUACCGGUGGCGAAGGCGGCAUCCUGGACCGGCAUUGACGCUGAGGAGCGAAAGCUAGGGGAGCAAACGGG
rnacentral:rRNA from 1 species